rnacentral:rRNA from 10 species
GAGAGGGCUCAGAAGUCGUCGGUACAGCACCGCACUUCUCACAGUGUCCGGAGCGCCAUCGAUGAUCCUUGAAAAUGUGAGGGAGAACUCUUGAGCUUCUUCCCAGGUCAUAUUCAUCACCGCAUCCGGUCUCCAAGAUGAACAGCCUCAAGUCGAUAGAGCAGUGUAG